rnacentral:rRNA from 1 species
UACGUAGGGUGCAAGCGUUAAUCGGAAUUACUGGGCGUAAAGCGUGCGUAGGCGGUCGUUAAGUCUGUCGUGAAAGCCCUGGGCUCAACCUGGGAAUUGCGAUGGAUACUGGCGAGCUAGAGUACGGUAGAGGAUGGUGGAAUUCCCGGUGUAGCGGUGAAAUGCGUAGAGAUCGGGAGGAACACCCGUGGCGAAGGCGGCCAUCUGGACCGAGUACUGACGCUGAGGCACGAAAGCGUGGGGAGCAAACAGG